rnacentral:rRNA from 1 species
CUUGCUUCUCUUGAGAGCGGCGGACGGGUGAGUAAUGCCUAGGAAUCUGCCUGGUAGUGGGGGAUAACGUUCGGAAACGGACGCUAAUACCGCAUACGUCCUACGGGAGAAAGCAGGGGACCUUCGGGCCUUGCGCUAUCAGAUGAGCCUAGGUCGGAUUAGCUAGUUGGUGGGGUAAUGGCUCACCAAGGCGACGAUCCGUAACUGGUCUGAGAGGAUGAUCAGUCACACUGGAACUGAGACACGGUCCAGACUCCUACGGGAGGCAGCAGUGGGGAAUAUUGGACAAUGGGCGAAAGCCUGAUCCAGCCAUGCCGCGUGUGUGAAGAAGGUCUUCGGAUUGUAAAGCACUUUAAGUUGGGAGGAAGGGUUGUAGAUUAAUACUCUGCAAUUUUGACGUUACCGACAGAAUAAGCACCGGCUAACUCUGUGCCAGCAGCCGCGGUAAUACAGAGGGUGCAAGCGUUAAUCGGAAUUACUGGGCGUAAAGCGCGCGUAGGUGGUUUGUUAAGUUGGAUGUGAAAUCCCCGGGCUCAACCUGGGAACUGCAUUCAAAACUGACUGACUAGAGUAUGGUAGAGGGGUGGUGGAAUUUCCUGUGUAGCGGUGAAAUGCGUAGAUAUAGGAA